rnacentral:rRNA from 1 species
GUCUAUGGCCAUGCUACCCUGAACAAGCCUGUUGUCUGAUCAUGGAAGCUAAGCAGAGUCAGACCUGGUUAGUACUUGGAUGGGAGACCACUUAGGAAAGACCAGGUGCUGUAGGCA